rnacentral:lncRNA from 1 species
CAGGUCCAUGGUCCGGACCCUUUCGGCGUCUCCGCCUUUGGAUUGUGAAGAAGAACAGCGUGGCGACGACCAGCAAGCUGGCCACAGUGGCCGCCACUGCCUUGACGAUCGUCUUGCUUGAGGAAGAUGACGAGUCCGGCGGCGGCGCUUGGAGCGAGUCUAUUACGGAAGGAGGAGGAGAGUUGGUGACGAUGGUGGCGGUUGGAGAAAAGAGAAGUAGAGAGAGAAGAGGGAGAGA